GCUUGCACUGCCCAGGAAUUCAUUUGGUUGUGACUGCACAAGUCAGGAGCAACGUUAUCUCUAGACUACCUCCCUGCCGACCAGCUGGCUGACUAUGAGUUACAGCUGCAGCAAUAAUUCUGCGCAGUGACGCCACACUACCACUGAGGAUGACAGGUGACAGGUAUUUUAAGACUUGCCUUAAUGAACGUUUGUGGUACAUGUACCUCUGGGGUGGAGGACUGUCCUUCAGGGACAUAGCCAAGAGGAGUGGGCGGAGUCCGACCACCGUCAGGAAGUGGGUGAGACGGCUACUGAGCGAGAGUCUCGUCCCUUUUUAUGAAGGCACAGGAAACAUUGUGAUGGCACCCCAAGUGAUGCUCUUCUAGGUGUGGCGUAGUUAAUGUGGUUACUUCUUUUUUUCUCGGUCAACUUAUAACUUCAACAAAAUAAUUUGUAACGAACAAUAUAUUUCUUUGAAUUAUUAUUUCUAAGUUAAUCAAGGUUAUUUAUGCACACGAAGAUGGAGCAGCUGCUUUGUAGUAACUGUCCGAUCUUGAUCUGAUAACAAUGGUCACUGACAUUAAUAACCAUAACAUCUUACCCCUAAGUUAUGACAGCCAAACUCUUAAAUACCCUGUAUACUCUCGCCUCCUAAUCACACGGUAAUACGUAAUACAGACUUGUGGAAAAGGCCAAUAAAGUGCAAAAUACCAAA